AGAGUUUGAUCCUGGCUCAGGAUGAACGCUAGCUACAGGCUUAACACAUGCAAGUCGAGGGGCAGCAUAGAAGAAGCUUGCUUCUUCUGAUGGCGACCGGCGCACGGGUGCGUAACGCGUAUCAAACCUGCCUCAUACUCGGGGAUAGCCUUGCGAAAGUAAGAUUAAUACCCGAUGUUGUUAUGUUACCGCAUGGUGAUAUAACCAAAGAUUUAUCGGUAUGAGAUGGUGAUGCGUCCGAUUAGGUAGUAGGCGGGGUAACGGCCCACCUAGCCAUCGAUCGGUAGGGGUUCUGAGAGGAAGGUCCCCCACACUGGAACUGAGACACGGUCCAGACUCCUACGGGAGGCAGCAGUGAGGAAUAUUGGUCAAUGGACGGAAGUCUGAACCAGCCAAGUAGCGUGCAGGAUGACGGCCCUAUGGGUUGUAAACUGCUUUUGUAUGGGGAUAAAGUUAGGGACGUGUCCCUAUUUGCAGGUACCAUACGAAUAAGGACCGGCUAAUUCCGUGCCAGCAGCCGCGGUAAUACGGAAGGUCCAGGCGUUAUCCGGAUUUAUUGGGUUUAAAGGGAGCGUAGGCGGAUUAUUAAGUCAGUGGUGAAAGACGGUGGCUCAACCAUCGUUAGCCAUUGAAACUGGUAGUCUUGAGUGCAGACAGGGAUGCUGGAACUCGUGGUGUAGCGGUGAAAUGCUUAGAUAUCACGAUGAACUCCGAUCGCGAAGGCAGGUGUCCGGGCUGCAACUGACGCUGAGGCUCGAAAGUGUGGGUAUCAAACAGGAUUAGAUACCCUGGUAGUCCACACAGUAAACGAUGUAUACUCGCGGUUUGCGAUAUAUUGUAAGCCGCCAAGCGAAAGCAUUAAGUAUACCACCUGGGGAGUACGCCGGCAACGGUGAAACUCAAAGGAAUUGACGGGGGCCCG
rnacentral:rRNA from 1 species